CGGGGCGUGGCGCAGCCUGGUAGCGCACCUGCUUUGGGAGCAGGGAGUCGAAGGUUCGAAUCCUUUCGCCCCG
rnacentral:tRNA from 1 species